rnacentral:rRNA from 1 species
AACGAACGCUGGCGGCAUGCCUAACACAUGCAAGUCGAACGAGACCUUCGGGUCUAGUGGCGCACGGGUGCGUAACGCGUGGGAACCUGCCCUUAGGUUCGGAAUAACUCCCCGAAAGGGGUGCUAAUACCGGAUAAUGUCUUCGGACCCAAGAUUUAUCGCCUUUGGAUGGGCCUGCGUUGGAUUAGCUAGUUGGUAGGGUAAAAGCCUACCAAGGCGACGAUCCAUAGCUGGUCUGAGAGGAUGAUCAGCCACACUGGGACUGAGACACGGCCCAGACUCCUACGGGAGGCAGCAGUGGGGAAUAUUGGACAAUGGGCGAAAGCCUAAUUCAGCAAUGCCGCGUGAGUGAUGAAGGCCUUAGGGUUGUAAAGCUCUUUUACCCGGGAUGAUAAUGACAGUACCGGGAGAAUAAGCUCCGGCUAACUCCGUG